AAUUGGGUACCAUCAAUCCUCUGUUAUUUGUUCUUAUUCAAUACUGUAUUGGCUAUUCUGGGUCUUCAGCUUUUCCAUAUGAACUAAAGGAUCAGUUUGUCCACAGCUAUAGAUAACUUGCUGGCUUCUCUUAUUAGUUCUAUGAGUUUUCUGUAGGAAGCACACUAAUUUUCUGUAUAUUUUUAAAGUAAUCAUUAAGAAUGGGGAAAACUCCAUUAAAAUUGCAAGCAAACUGAACAAAUAAGCCCAGUUUUAUGGCAAAUGAAUAAUAUUCUACCAGGAAGGUAAAAAAAUAAAAUAAAAAGAGAACUAAUCUAAAUAACUGCUGAACAUGUCAUUUGAAUAUAUUCUCAAUUGAGUAGCAGGGGAAAACAAAAUAAAUCCUGACCUCUUUUUAGGUUUAUUGACACUGUAUGAAUAAAGCAAUAGGAAAUUAGUCUAAAGGUACAAUAGAAUUUAGCAAAUAAAUAAGCAGUUGUUGUCAGCCAAGUUACACACAGUAGAGGAAAAAAGUAGACACAGCUAUGGAGUAGGGCAACACAAGGAAAAAAAGAACCCUACAGGAAUGUGAGGGGAUCAAAAAUCCCAGCAGGAACUCAUGAUUUCUAAUGCAUUUUAUCCUCACACAUAUUUGCCCAUAUACAGGGAGUCAUAUGGAUACAUACAUGUAUUCUAACUCUGAUUCCUGAAAGGCCAAGGAAAGAAAUAUACCCCCAUUAGUACAACUGGCAGCCAAAUCUUGGUCUCUAAUGCCCUUCCAAUAAAAAAAAUAGCCAAGGCUCUUCGGAGAAAUGGUUGAUUCCAGGGCUGUGGCAAGGAAGAUACAAGAUGAGCUUAGAAUAUCUUGUUAUGCCAGAAAUUGAAGAAGUACCAUAUAUAUAUAAUGGUGCUUGGUUAUAUAUGGUACUUAUAUAUGGUGUAUAUGUAUAUAUAUAUAUAUAUGUGGUACUUUGAUAUAUACGGUACUUAUAUAUAUGGUAUGUGUGUGUAUAUGUGUGUGUCUCUCUCUAUAUGUGUGUGUGUGUAUGUGUGUGUGUGUAUAUAUAUAUAUAUAUAUAUAUGGUACUACCUGCCACCCACAUGGGACAUCCAGAUGAAGUAUUAUAGCGUGACAAAAGGACAAAGGAGCCAGUUUGAAGAGGCUCUCAAUGACCAAAUCUGGAACAAUAUGAACACCACAAUAAUGAAUAGUAAUAAAUUAUAAGCCAAUGAAAAAAUAACAAUCUUUUUGUCAUGAAAUAUCAAGACAGGUUGAGGAACUAUACCAGACUAAAGAAGACCAAAGAAACAUGAUAAAUAAAUAUAUGACUUCAAAAUGGAUCUGUACUGAAGGAAAAAUUAUGCCCCAGAAGAGAUUACUGAAUCAUUUACCAAAAUUGGAAUACAGAUGGUGGAUAAUCUAACUCAUAAGGAGGAGAGUCUGAAAGGGUCAUGUGAAGUACAGAAAUGGGUUACACAUCCUGAAAUCCACGUAGGCGACAAUUGGUUGACUCUGCAGGCACUGCGGAGGAGGACUUCUCUAUGACACAGUGCUGGGGAGAGGGCUCCUCAGACAUGACACAAGCAAGCCUAAGUGUAUAGGGUAAGGACAAUCCCCUUAAAUACCAUAACGUGAAGGCCAAAGAGGUAAACAAGGAGCUAUGAAACCUGACCAGAGAAAUAUGGAAUUGAAUGAUGUAAAAAGCCCACGAGUGAAUGAAUUUACCAUGUGAAGUUGCAGUGAAUCUUCCUAGUGGCUUCAUCAGCUAAUGAAUAUAAUGUAAAUACUUCUGCCAGCUGCACUGAUUCAACAGCUGAUGAAAUGCUGGCAAAAAUUUCAAGUUAUCGUUUCAUUAGGAUCGAUGUUCAUUAACAAACCAAACAGAUGCAUAAAGUAUAUGACAAUGUUGAUAAUUUGGAUAAUGGACAGCCUAUCUUUGUUGCUCUAAGAAUGAAAAUUACAGAAAACCCAUAAAGAAAAUAUAAAUGGCCAUUUAGGGAUUUAGGCCCCCAGAUACACUUGUACAUGUCUUCGUAGAUUGCUUCCUUUUAUAAUAUAAUCUAUAAACCAAAGAGUAAGGUUAACUAUAAAAACCAAAAUUGGUUUGGUAUUAUACUGUUUGACCUACUGCUAUAAAAAAAAAGGAAAAGGCAGCAAGCUUUUAGCCAAAUAAUGUUUUUGCCAAAGUGUAUAUUGGUAACAGUUCUCAAAGUAUACGUUUCCAAAAUAGGUGUGACCUAAAGAUCAAUGCUGCAUUAUCUACUAACGGACAAAAAUUGGAUAUAAAACAAAUUGUGCUAAAUGAGAAAGGACAAACUACACACCAAAUUUCAUAUUGAGUACAGUUUUCUACUCUGCUCUCAAAAAAAAAAAGUUAAAAAUCUUCUCCUUUGCCCAAAUCUAUUGCAAUGAUUUUCUUCUAAAUAUAUAAGAGUGAUGAGAACCUGUAUUAUUGGCUACUUGGGUAGCAACUAUUAGAUGGGACCCAUCAUUUCACAACAUGCACGACUCCUUCAAGAGCACGAAACAGCAAGGUUUUCUUUUUUCCAAAGAUAGCCAGAAUGCUCUGAAGAAAGUCCAGAUAAGAGCAGACCUCCUAAGCAGUGGAAAAUGCAGACAGAGAGGAGAGACGGUCUAUGUGUAUAGAUCUAUACUACAGAAAAUCUCAUUCUAGAACAAAUUUAAAACAAAUGUCUCUGCUAGGGACAGCUGGAGAGAGUACUGAGUGGGGCACCCCUUUAGCUGUCCCGCUGAGUCCAUGGAAAUAGUUCAAGCCUGUGGUCUGGCUAAGAGCCGUAAUGUGGAGAAGGGAAAUCUACAUAAUCCUCACAUUUCAUUUCACUCAUGGGAUGCCUCCUCCACACCUCUAGGUUAUCAGCAGAGCUUCCAACAACAUAAAAAGGAUUCCACUGGGAAGCUCACUUGAACUUGGGGCAGGGAGUCUUGGACUGGCUUCUUGGACUGGCUUCAAAGGACUAUUUAAGGAAGCUCGAGGUACAAAGGAGAAAAUGAGUACUGCUCUAGAGGACUGACGCCACCUUCUUCCUUUCACUGGACAUCACUGAUGAGUCAAAGAAACAGGGAGCAAACAAGUGCCAAUCACCCCUCUCUGGACACUCUGCCUUUUGCUCAGGGACGAUAGGAACAAAGGGGAAAAAUGGAAAUCUUUUGGUCAUUCCAGAGAAAAGACCAAGCCCCUCCUAUGGGAAAGAAUAUGAGACUGUCAUCAUUUUAAGACAACAUUUCAUUCCAGGAGACAGUGAAGUAAUAACAUGCUAAGAGUCAGCAGGACAGAGAGUCAAAGACUGCAUAGAGAGUCAAACUUUUAACAAUAAAGGCAGGGGGCCGGGUAAAGUGGCCUCCUGCAGUGCCGGCAUCCCACAUGGGCACCACUUGAUGUCCCGUCUGUUCCACUUCUGAUCCAGCUCUCUGCUAUGGCCUGGGAAAGCAGUGAAAGAUAGUCCAAGUGCUUGGGCCCCUGCACCCACGUGGGAGACCCAGAAGAAGCUCCUGGCUCCUGGCUUUGGAUCGGCGCAGCUCUGGCUGUUGGAGCCAUCUGGGGAGUGACCCAGUGGAUGGAAGGCCUCUCUCUCUGCCUCUGCCUCUCUGUAACUCUGAAUUUCAAAUAAAUAAAUAAAUCUUAAAAAAAAAAAAAAAAGAAUAAAAGCCAGACACACUCAAAAGUCAAGGGAUAUGAUCCUAUGUGUCUUUCCUGAAAAAUCUGCUAAAGAAUGAACUUCAGAGGAUCCAAGCAACUGGAGAAACACUGAUGGAAGAUAUAUUAGUGGGCACUGACUAUAAACCUGCAAAAUAAAGACUAAACCAUGGCUACAAGAAAGAACAUACUGGGCCAGCGCUGUGGCUCACUAGGCUAAUCAUCCUCCUGUGGCGCCGGCACCCCAGGUUCUAGUCCCGGUUGAUCCUCUUCAGUCCAGCACUCUGCUGUGGCCUGGGAAGGCAGUGGAGGAUGGCCCAAGUCCUUGGGCCCUGCACCCGCAUGGGAGACCAAGAAGAAGCACCUGGCUCCUGGCUUCGGAUUGGCAUAGCUCCGGCCAUAGCGUCCAUUUGGGGAGUGAACCAAUGGAAGGAAGACC